rnacentral:rRNA from 1 species
AGAGUUUGAUCCUGGCUCAGGAUGAACGCUAGCGGCAGGCCUAAUACAUGCAAGUCGAACGGGGCAGUUCAGCAAUGGACUGUUCAGUGGCGCACGGGUGCGUAACGCGUAUGCAACCUACCUUAAACUGGGGGAUAGCCUUCCGAAAGGGAGAUUAAUACCGCAUAAGAUCAUUUGAUGGCAUCUGAAGAUGAUUAAAGAUUUAUUGGUUUAAGAUGGGCAUGCGUGCCAUUAGCUAGUUGGUAGUGUAACGGACUACCAAGGCGACGAUGGCUAGGGGUUCUGAGAGGAUGAUCCCCCACACUGGUACUGAGAUACGGACCAGACUCCUACGGGAGGCAGCAGUAGGGAAUAUUGGGCAAUGGACGGAAGUCUGACCCAGCCAUGCCGCGUGCAGGAAGAAGGCCUUCUGGGUUGUAAACUGCUUUUAUAUAGGAAGAAAACACCCAUGCGUGGGAACCUGACGGUACUAUAUGAAUAAGCACCGGCUAACUCCGUGCCAGCAGCCGCGGUAAUACGGAGGGUGCAAGCGUUGUCCGGAUUUAUUGGGUUUAAAGGGUGCGUAGGCGGCCCGUUAAGUCAGUGGUGAAAGCCUCCAGCUCAACUGGAGAACUGCCAUUGAUACUGACGGGCUUGAGUACAGACGAGGUUGGCGGAAUUGAUUGUGUAGCGGUGAAAUGCAUAGAUACAAUCAAGAACUCCGAUUGCGUAGGCAGCUAACUAGGCUGUAACUGACGCUGAGGCACGAAAGCGUGGGAGCGAACAGGAUUAGAUACCCUGGUAGUCCACGCUGUAAACGAUGAUUACUCGAUGUCGGCGAUAAACUGUCGGCGUCUUAGCGAAAGCGUUAAGUAAUCCACCUGGGGAGUACGCCCGCAAGGGUGAAACUCAAAGGAAUUGACGGGGGCCCGCACAAGCGGUGGAGCAUGUGGUUUAAUUCGAUGAUACGCGAGGAACCUUACCUAGGCUAGAAUGCGCGUGACCGACUCAGAGAUGAGUCUUUCCUUCGGGACACAAAGCAAGGUGCUGCAUGGCCGUCGUCAGCUCGUGCCGUGAGGUGUUGGGUUAAGUCCCGCAACGAGCGCAACCCCUAUCUUUAGUUGCCAGCACAUAAUGGUGGGGACUCUAAAGAGACUGCCUGCGCAAGCAGUGAGGAAGGUGGGGAUGACGUCAGGUCAUCAUGGCCCUUACGCCUAGGGCUACACACGUGCUACAAUGGGCGGUACAAAGGGUUGCUACCUGGUGACAGGAUGCCAAUCUCAAAAAGCCGCUCUCAGUUCGGAUCGAAGUCUGCAACUCGACUUCGUGAAGCUGGAAUCGCUAGUAAUCGCGUAUCAGCAAUGACGCGGUGAAUACGUUCCCGGGCCUUGUACACACCGCCCGUCAAGCCAUGGAAGUCAGGGAGACCUGAAGACGGUGCCCGUUAAAGGAGCCGUUUAGGGUAAAACUGGUAACUGGGGCUAAGUCGUAACAAGGUA